AGUGAACGCUGGCGGUAGGCCUAACACAUGCAAGUCGAACGGCACCACAGUAAGAGCUUGCUCUUACGGGUGGCGAGUGGCGGACGGGUGAGGAAUACAUCGGAAUCUACUUUUUCGUGGGGGAUAACGUAGGGAAACUUACGCUAAUACCUCAUACGACCUACGGGUGAAAGCAGGGGAUCUUCGGACCUUGCGCGAUUGAAUGAGCCGAUGUCGGAUUAGCUAGUUGGCGGGGUAAAGGCCCACCAAGGCGACGAUCCGUAGCUGGUCUGAGAGGAUGAUCAGCCACACUGGAACUGAGACACGGUCCAGACUCCUACGGGAGGCAGCAGUGGGGAAUAUUGGACAAUGGGCGCAAGCCUGAUCCAGCCAUACCGCGUGGGUGAAGAAGGCCUUCGGGUUGUAAAGCCCUUUUGUUGGGAAAGAAAAGCAGCAGGUUAAUACCCCGCUGUUCUGACGGUACCCAAAGAAUAAGCACCGGCUAACUUCGUG
rnacentral:rRNA from 1 species